rnacentral:rRNA from 1 species
GAUGAACGCUGGCGGCGUGCCUAAUACAUGCAAGUCGAGCGAACAGACGAGGAGCUUGUACCUCUGACGUGAGCGGCGGACGGGUGAGUAACGCGUGGAUAACCUACCUUUAAGCGGGGGAUAACUUCGGGAAACGGAUGCUAAUACCGCAUAAAAAAUUUAACCGCAAGGUUCAAUAGUGAAAGAUGGUUUUGCUGCACCUAAUGAAGGUACCGCGUCCCAUUAAGUAUUUGGUAAGGUAAAGGCUUACCAAGGCAAAGAAGCGUAGCCGACCUGAGAGGGUGAUCGGCCCCACUGGAACUGGACCACGGUCCAGACUCCUACGGGAGGCAGCAGUAGGGAAUCUUCCGCAAUGGGCGAAAGCCUGACGGAGCAACGCCGCGGGAGUGAGGAAGGUCUUCGGACCUUAAACCUCUGUUAUUAGGGAAGAAGAAAUGUGUAAGUAACUAUGCACGUCUUGACGGUACCUAAUCAGAAAGCCACGGCUAACUACGUG